rnacentral:rRNA from 1 species
AAUAUUGCACAAUGGGCGCAAGCCUGAUGCAGCCAUGCCGCGUGUGUGAAGAAGGCCUUCGGGUUGUAAAGCACUUUCAGUCGUGAGGAAGGCGGGUACGUUAAUAGCGUAUUCGUUUGACGUUAGCGACAGAAGAAGCACCGGCUAACUCCGUGCCAGCAGCCGCGGUAAUACGGAGGGUGCGAGCGUUAAUCGGAAUUACUGGGCGUAAAGCGCAUGCAGGUGGUUUGUUAAGUCAGAUGUGAAAGCCCCGGGGCUCAACCUCGGAAUAGCAUUUGAAACUGGCAGACUAGAGUACUGUAGAGGGGGUAGAAUUUCAGGUGUAGCGGUGAAAUGCGUAGAGAUCUGAAGGAAUACCGGUGGCGAAGGCGGCCCCCCUGGACAGAUACUGACACUCAGAUGCGAAAGCGUGGGGAGCAAACAGGAUUAGAUACCCCUGGUAG